rnacentral:rRNA from 1 species
AUUGAACGCUGGCGGCAUGCUUUACACAUGCAAGUCGAACGGCAGCGCGGGCUUCGGCCUGGCGGCGAGUGGCGAACGGGUGAGUAAUGCAUCGGAACGUGCCCAGUAGUGGGGGAUAGCCCGGCGAAAGCCGGAUUAAUACCGCAUACGACCUGAGGGUGAAAGCGGGGGACCGAAAGGCCUCGCGCUAUUGGAGCGGCCGAUGUCUGAUUAGCUAGUUGGUGGGGUAAAGGCUUACCAAGGCGACGAUCCGUAGCUGGUCUGAGAGGACGACCAGCCACACUGGGACUGAGACACGGCCCAGACUCCUACGGGAGGCAGCAGUGGGGAAUUUUGGACAAUGGGGGCAACCCUGAUCCAGCCAUGCCGCGUGCGGGAAGAAGGCCUUCGGGUUGUAAACCGCUUUUGUUCGGGAAGAAAUCCUCUGGGCUAAUACCCCGGGGGGAUGACGGUACCGGAAGAAUAAGCACCGGCUAACUACGUG